CUCGCGACGUUGUGAGAAGUCCACUGAACCUUAUCAUUUAGAGGAAGGAGAAGUCGUAACAAGGUUUCCGUAGGUGAACCUGCGGAAGGAUCAUUG
rnacentral:rRNA from 10 species